rnacentral:rRNA from 1 species
UAAGGAAUAUUGGUCAAUGGACGCAAGUCUGAACCAGCCACGCCGCGUGCAGGAAGACGGCCCUAUGGGUUGUAAACUGCUUUUGUUUGGAGGAAACCCAUUUGCCGAAUGGGACUAGGACGGUACCAGACGAAUAAGCACCGGCUAACUCCGUGCCAGCAGCCGCGGUAAUACGGAGGGUGCAAGCGUUAUCCGGAAUUAUUGGGUUUAAAGGGUGCGUAGGCGGCCAAAUAAGUCAGGGGUGAAAGGCGUCAGCUCAACUGUCGCAGUGCCUUUGAUACUGUUUGGCUUGAAUGUGGUUGAAGAUGGCGGAAUGAGACAAGUAGCGGUGAAAUGCAUAGAUAUGUCUCAGAACCCCGAUUUGCGAAGGCAGCUAUCUAAGCCGUUAUUGACGCUGAUGCACGAAAGCGUGGGUAGCAAACA